rnacentral:rRNA from 1 species
GAAAGGAAAUAUUCGGUAAAAGAUGGGCCCGCAUCUGAUUAGCUAGUUGGUGAGAUAACAGCCCACCAAGGCGACGAUCAGUAGCCGACCUGAGAGGGUGACCGGCCACAUUGGGACUGAGACACGGCCCAAACUCCUACGGGAGGCAGCAGUGGGGAAUAUUGCACAAUGGGGGGAACCCUGAUGCAGCAACGCCGCGUGAAGGAAGACGGUUUUCGGAUUGUAAACUUCUAUCAAUAGGGAAGAAAGAAAUGACGGUACCUAAAUAAGAAGCCCCGGCUAACUACGUGCCAGCAGCCGCGGUAAUACGUAGGGGGCAAGCGUUAUCCGGAAUUACUGGGUGUAAAGGGAGAGUAGGCGGCAAGGUAAGCGAUAUGUGAAAGCCUUAGGCUUAACCUGAGGAUUGCAUAACGAACUAUCUAGCUAGAGUACAGGAGAGGAAAGCGGAAUUCCUAGUGUAGCGGUGAAAUGCGUAGAUAUUAGGAAGAACACCAGUGGCGAAGGCGGCUUUCUGGACUGAAACUGACGCUGAGGCUCGAAAGCGUGGGGAGCGAACAGGAUUAGAUACCCUGGUAGUCCACGCUGUAAACGAUGAGUGCUAGGUGUCGGGGAGGAAUCCUCGGUGCC